UACAUUUUCCAUGUGAAUCAUUCAUUCUCUUCUGGCUCAAUGCAUUGAAAGAGAACUCAAGAGGUAAGUGACAUAUUCCUUAAAUCUUUUCUGCCACUGCAUUCCAUCCAUUUUACAUCCGGCAGAAGAAAGGGCAACCGGAAAAAUGGAUCUCUCUCUCUCCUAAAAUUAUCAAUUUCUUUUUUCUCCAUACUUCACUCUACUCCUCUUCUUCACCAUAUUUAUUGAUUACUUUUCUCUUUCCAUACCAAACCUUCACUCUUAGAUUCACACUCACUCAUUCACUCCAGUUAGUUCACUAUAACGAAACAACAUAGCAUCAUUCAAUUCGUUCUAUGUAUUAUUUUAGUUUCAGAUCUUUUGAAUAUGAAUGGCGACAAGAAAUCACACUUUGCUUUUCUGAAAGUACAAAGACGCAUUAAAGAGUGUCUGUGGUUCGUCAAUUUCUUCAUCGUCGUCCACCUCUUUCAGCAACACAUCGCUUCUAAUUAAGAUUCCUAAUUAUCUUCUCGUGAUUCCCCAUUGUUGCAUGCUCUGAUUCAAGGGUUUUCUUCACAGAGGGCUCCAUUUCGAAAUCGAAGUUGGAAACUUUGGUGGAAAAGGGAAUGAAAUGUGGUGUUUCACUGGUGCUGGUGUUGUUUCGUAUUGCACAAUAUCGACAAUUGCAAAAAGAAGUUAAAUUAACUUUUUUUUUAUUGAAAGAAUUAUCAAGGUUUUUGAGUAUAUACACAGUUUAAUUUCCUUAUUUCUUAGCUCAAGGUUCCAGUGCGAUGAUUGUUAUUUAUUUCAGUAAUCUUAUGAUGGAAUAUUUAAAGGACAUUUCUUAUUCUAUUUUGUCUUUUCUUUUUGUGUACAGUGGGUGGCUUCAAUUGUUUUCUGGAGAAAGAGAUGUCAUCAAAUCAAAUUAGUAUUGAGUCUUUUGGAACUGAAGAACUCCUUGAGCAUGAAUUGAAUUGAAUUGGUGGAAUAAGAACUUUGGCAGCAAGAAGAAAAAGGUUUGAUCGGCUUAUUCAUAGUACGUGAUGAUGCUGCAAGGUUCAUACUUUAGGAGAAUUAAGCUUUUAACUAAAAAACAACAAGGUCAUACACGUAAACUACGAAGAUGUUUCUAUUAACAAGGGCCAAGACUUUUCUGUUAAGUUUACGAUAGGAGAAAAUUAUGCAGGCUUGCAGGGUUGGCACUGAUAGCACCAUUUAUCAAUUACAGAUGGAUUUCUCUUCCUAUAAGUUUGAUAAGAGAAGACUUUAUAAGGAGUUGUAUUAAGUGGGCAAUGUGGCUUGCAAAUCACUUUUCUAAACUAUUGCAUUAGUGGGUUACUUAAAAUUGUCUACCUUCCAAUGUUGUCAUAGAAAGAAAAUCCAACAUCCUUCAACAAAAACGAUAACGAUAUUUUGAAGACUAUUCACGGCUUCCCAAUGUUUUCAAAGGGUCCAUUUGCAGCAGAGAGCAAUCCUUUCCUUUAUAGAUGGUUUACACAGCCCAAUUAGCCCGAUUCUUCUCCAGCAUUGGAAAAACAAAGAUAACGAUAUCACCAUGUAUGAGUAUCUUCCUAAAGGCAUUGACUACUAUUCCUUCAUGCUAAACUCUAAAUAUUGUCUUUGUCCAAAUUGCCAUGAAGUGGCUAGCCCAAGAAUUGUGGAGUCAAUUUAUGCAGAAUGUGUGCCUGUGAUUCUAUCAAGUUAUUAUGCGUUGUCCUUUAGUGAUGUGCUGCGAUGGGAAACAUUUUCAGUGCAUGUGGAUGUUUCAGAUAUUUCUAGGUUGAAAGAGUUUCUUAGCAUUAUUUCAGAGAGCAAGUAUAGGGAUCUCAAAAAUGGGAGUAUAGGCUGUGAGGAGGCAUUUUACUCUGAAUCAACCUCCUAAAUUUUUUUUGAUGUUUUUCACAUUAUCUUACACUCAAUAUGGCUAAGAAGAUUGAUGGAUGGUUAAUUUGUACUUAUGUAUAAUAUAAGUAAUACUAUAUGUAGUGAUUUUUUUAAUUUUGGCUCCAAUUAAUCAGGAAUGAGAACUCUAAAAGUG